rnacentral:rRNA from 1 species
GCUAUCUGCAGUCGAGCGGACAGAAGGGAGCUUGCUCCCGGAUGUUAGCGGCGGACGGGUGAGUAACACGUGGGUAACCUGCCUGUAAGACUGGGAUAACUCCGGGAAACCGGAGCUAAUACCGGAUAGUUCCUUGAACCGCAUGGUUCAAGGAUGAAAGACGGUUUCGGCUGUCACUUACAGAUGGACCCGCGGCGCAUUAGCUAGUUGGUGAGGUAACGGCUCACCAAGGCGACGAUGCGUAGCCGACCUGAGAGGGUGAUCGGCCACACUGGGACUGAGACACGGCCCAGACUCCUACGGGAGGCAGCAGUAGGGAAUCUUCCGCAAUGGACGAAAGUCUGACGGAGCAACGCCGCGUGAGUGAUGAAGGUUUUCGGAUCGUAAAGCUCUGUUGUUAGGGAAGAACAAGUGCAAGAGUAACUGCUUGCACCUUGACGGUACCUAACCAGAAAGCCACGGCUAACUACGUGCCAGCAGCCGCGGUAAUACGUAGGUGGCAAGCGUUGUCCGGAAUUAUUGGGCGUAAAGGGCUCGCAGGCGGUUUCUUAAAUCUGAUGUGAAAGCCCCCGGCUCAACCGGGGAGGGUCAUUGGAAACUGGGAAACUUGAGUGCAGAAGAGGAGAGUGGAAUUCCGCGUGUAGCGGUGAAAUGCGUAGAGAUGUGGAGGAACACCAGUGGCGAAGGCGACUCUCUGGUCUGUAACUGACGCUGAGGAGCGAAAGCGUGGGGAGCGAACAGGAUUAGAUACCCUGGUAGUCCACGCCGUAAACGAUGAGUGCUAAGUGUUAGGGGGUUUCCGCCCCUUAGUGCUGCAGCUAACGCAUUAAGCACUCCGCCUGGGGAGUAC